CACAAACACACACAUGUAUAAAUACACACUCCUUCAAUACAGACAUUUUAAAUCAUAUUUCUACACACAUGUUCAGUAUGUAACAGCAGUCCUGCCCUAUGUAAUAACUGAAAUAUCACGUCAAUCUAAACUGUAUCCCUCAGAGAAAUCAGAUUACUUCUAACAGAGUAUUUUUUCUGAUCAAUAAUCAGAAACUAAUCUUUUGUGAAGUCCAUAUUUAAAGUCCAGACUCCAAAGUGAUCCAGCUGUGAUUCCAGUCAGUCUACCUGAUGAACACGGUUCUAAAAGGAGCUGAGAACAGCAGAACGUUCUCAGUCCUGGACCUAUGGACUGGGUCUAUCUAUGUCUGCAUCAUGGAUCCACAUGGAGAAGAACUGAACAGAGGAAAAGAAACAUCUGACUGAGAGACUCGACAAAGAUGGAAAAAGAUCCAGGAAGAUUAGUGAGCAACUGAAAACCAGAGAAGCAGAGAGUCAGCAGGAAUCAGGAGGUCUAGAAGGAGUCAUAGUUCCACUAAUCAGGAGGUCUGGAAGGAGUCAUAGUUCCACUAAUCAGGAGGUCUAGAAGGAGUCAUAGUUCCACUAAUCAGGAGGUCUAGAAGGAGUCAUAGUUCCACUAAUCAGGAGGUCUAGAAGGAGUCAUAGUUCCACUAAUCAGGAGGUCUAGAAGGAGUCAUAGUUCCACUAAUCAGGAGGUCUAGAAGGAGUCAUAGUUCCACUAAUCAGAAAGUCUAGAAGGAGUCAUAGUUCCACUAAUCAGGAGGUCUAGAAGGAGUCAUAGUUCCACUAAUCAGAAAGUCUAGAAGGAGUCAUAGUUCCACUAAUCAGAGCUCCUAAAAUGACUCCACACACAGUGAACUACUUUCUCCAUCAGCUGUAAAAACAGACAUCAGCUGCUUCAGACUUGGUUCAGGGGUUCUCCAUGGAAACCAGAGUUAGUGUGAAGCUCAGACAGUGUGGAGGAACCUUCAGAACAUCAACCUCUAUGGACGGAGGACCAGAACUAAACCUAGUUGCUGCUCAGAACUAAACUUCCAGAUGUAGAACACGAGAAGAAGCCUGAUGGAUGUUGGAGAACAUGCUUUGGUCAGAUGAAGAUCAAUGAGUUGGGCUCAGAUGGAGUCCAGAUGUUUGGUGAGAACCUGACCAGGACUACCACAGUGGAUGCAUGGUCCUGACAGUGAAGCACGGAGGUGAGAGUGUGAUAAUCUGGGGCUGCAUGAGCUCAGAAGGUGUUGAAGACAUUUCUAGAUGAUGCUGCACAUGGCUGCACUCACUGCUGAAGACACACAUAUGUAAAUUGUGG